rnacentral:rRNA from 1 species
AUACGGAGGAUCCGAGCGUUAUCCGGAUUUAUUGGGUUUAAAGGGAGCGUAGGCGGACUAUUAAGUCAGCUGUGAAAGUUUGCGGCUCAACCGUAAAAUUGCAGUUGAUACUGGUCGUCUUGAGUGCAGUAGAGGUGGGCGGAAUUCGUGGUGUAGCGGGGAAAUGCUUAGAUAUCACGAAGAACUCCGAUUGCGAAGGCAGCUCACUGGACUGUAACUGACGCUGAUGCUCGAAAGUGUGGGUAUCAAACAGGAUUAGAUACCCUGGUAGUCCACACAGUAAACGAUGAAUACUCGCUGUUUGCGAUAUACGGCAAGCGGCCAAGCGAAAGCAUUAAGUAUUCCACCUGGGGAGUACGCCGGCAACGGUGAAACUCAAAGGAAUUGACGGGG